GGCUGGCCCAAGUACAGAGGUGUUUACAACCAAUUGAUUACCAGUUACAGAUGUCUUUGUUCCUGCUCCACUCCCACUGUUUCAUUUGACUAGCCUUUU
rnacentral:Y_RNA from 2 species